UGGACAAUGGGCGCAAGCCUGAUCCAGCCAUGCCGCGUGUGUGAAGAAGGCCUUAUGGUUGUAAAGCACUUUAAGCGAGGAGGAGGCUACUGAAGUUAAUACCUUCAGAUAGUGGACGUUACUCGCAGAAUAAGCACCGGCUAACUCUGUGCCAGCAGCCGCGGUAAUACAGAGGGUGCAAGCGUUAAUCGGAUUUACUGGGCGUAAAGCGCGCGUAGGCGGCUAAUUAAGUCAAAUGUGAAAUCCCCGAGCUUAACUUGGGAAUUGCAUUCGAUACUGGUUAGCUAGAGUGUGGGAGAGGAUGGUAGAAUUCCAGGUGUAGCGGUGAAAUGCGUAGAGAUCUGGAGGAAUACCGAUGGCGAAGGCAGCCAUCUGGCCUAACACUGACGCUGAGGUGCGAAAGCAUGGGGAGCAAACAGGAUUAGAUACCCUGGUAGUCCAUGCCGUAAACGAUGUCUACUAGCCGUUGGGGCCUUUGAGGCUUUAGUGGCGCAGCUAAC
rnacentral:rRNA from 2 species